ACGACACAAUAAGAACAAAGUGAAAGAUAAUUCCCCUCCAUGAGCAAAGAAACUUGAAAUUUCAUUCCGGUGACAAUUUUACAAUUUAACUAGAAGCACUGGACUAACAAUUUUUUUUUUUGUUUUUGGAUUCAAUGAAGCAGUUUGAGGCUGCACUAGAAGGCCCCGAGUCUAAAAGGAAUCAACACAAGUCUAAUACUAGAUUAGCAGGCAAUCAGCCAAGGAUGUGCAAAUUGUCAGGCAACAAAGCUGGGAAAAUUUGGUAUCCACAACUACCAAAGAAUGCAAUGUGGAAUUGGAUGCUAAUAUCUGCACAGUCAUGCUGCAGAUUUUCAUAGCAAAUCCCUUGAAGUUUCUCCAGAAAUCACAGCUUCACAGCCAAU
rnacentral:misc_RNA from 1 species